CUUUUUAAUUGGAGGCUGGAAUGAAUGGUAGAAACUGACAGGAAUGUUUUAUUUUAUAAAUUUGAAUUUAAAUUAAAAAUAAAAAUGUUUUUAUAAAUUCUUGGGACGAGAAGACCCUAGAAGCUUAAAAUUUAAAGAUUUUUGGUUGGGGCAAUUUUUGAAGAGAAAAAUUUUUAUUAAAGUAAAAUUUAAUGGUAAAGUUACUCUAGGGAUAACAGCGUUAUUUAAUUGAUAAGUUCUUAUUAAUAGUUAAGUUUGCGACCUCGAUGUUGAAUUAAUU
rnacentral:rRNA from 1 species